ACAUAGCGGUUCAAAGCUGUAUAACUUUAACAUUCAUCCUCGCUAUCGAAGGAAUAAUAUAUGAUCACAAGAAGCUUCUGUUUAACCCGAUGCCCCAAUCGAAUUUCCUUGAUUCCAGUCGUAAGUAUGAGGAGGUAACGAAGCUGUCAGAGUAUAAGUUUGAGAACUGUGGAAAUGUAUCUGGCGAGAACUUCAUCGUCACAAACCUGGUCUUUUCCCCCGACCCGCUUGUCUUUCCUGGGACGUUCAAUUUGUCCUUCGAAGCUGAACUCAAGAAAGACGUACCAGACAACCUCAAGGCUGUCGUUCAGAUGUCUGAGAGAGUUAAUAACCAGGAUGUACCACUACCGUGUGUAGGGAAUGUUGGUAGCUGCGUCUACGACGACCUGUGCACCAUCCUCAAAGAUGUCGAGUGUCCCCAGGAAUUUGGAACUGCUAAUGUGCCGUGUAAAUGCCCCCUUCAAAGCGGGCAACUACAGCCUCCCCGUGGCAACGUUCAACGUGUACACAGCCUUCCUGCUUCCCGGUGUCUACACCAUCACUGUCAGCCUCACACACAACGACAUCUACCUCGGAUGCUACAAACUCGUAGCAACGUUCGCUUGUAAGCUUUGUAUAGGUCAUUUUUCAAGAGAUCAUUGUAUUGGAGUAGUUCAAUGCAAGAGGUAUUCGUGUAGGAUUGUCAUAUGACGGUCCGUGUCUUAUUAGAAGCAUUUGUAUGAAAACAAUAUUCAAAUAUUGGAGUAUAGAACACGCCCAUGGUCAAAUAUGUUGUCCAGUGUGGAGACCCGUCAGCGUGACAUCGCAUCCGUCAUCACUCGACCCUUGCCCUAGACUACAAGAAGAAGGUUUAAGAGAGUAAGGCCUAAUAUGGCGUCAGCCUUGACAGAUGAGGUUCGAUAAGAAGCGAAAAGGUCUUUUUUAGAUGUAAGGCGACUAUUCGGGUUUUCUGUGUCAACUUUUAAUAACUGGCAACCUUUACAGCAUAAGUGAAUAAAGUUAUCACCCACACAGUGUCAGGGGAUCCUUU